rnacentral:rRNA from 1 species
GGGCUUGGCAGAAUCAGCGGGGAAAGAAGACCCUGUUGAGCUUGACUCUAGUCUGACUUUGUGAAAUGACUUUGGAGGUGUAGCAUAAGUGGGAGGUUUACGUCGGUCUUGAAAUACCACUACUCUGAACGUUAUUUUACUUAUUUAAUUAAGUAGGACGUACGAGGCUUUCAAAUUUUGAGGCCUAAUUUAUGUUUUCGAAUAUGGAUUAAAAGGAAUUCAAAUUCUCUUUUGCUGAGUCAGAAUCACUCCGGUGCAUUUUCGACACACAUGAGAGGAAUUUGUUUUCCGGGUUUUGAACAUUUUAUUGCUUUUGUUAAAUUCUUGUUUUAAGUAAAGAAACGCACGUUUCUGGAGCUCUGUUGGAAAGUAAGGUUUCGGCUUUACUUCUCUAGCUUUUUUCCAAAAGUAAGAGAGUUAGAUGGAGCAGGCCAAUUCGGUUGGUCUCAACUCUAUUCAUUAUCUCUAGAGACCUCUGCUCUUUUGACCUAGUUUAAAGACAUUGUCA